CACAACAACUCCAGCUGUGGAUCCACCAUCACAUUGAGUGUCCAAAUCCACAAGACAACACAGUGGAGCUUCUGCAGAAUGGUGUCUCAACAUCCAGCCGUUUCUCCUUCAGGAUGUUUAUCUUCAGCUCAAACACCACUAAAGUUUACCUGCACUGUUCUGUUCAUCUGUGUCUUCUGACCAACAACUACUGCACAACUGUUUAUUCAGUUAUAAUUUUGCUAUCCC